CAAAAUGUACUUGCCUCGCUUUGCCAGACAUUCCUCCACCGCUGCAGAGGAGGGUCUGGCUAGUCCACACAGCAAUCCGGAACGGUUGAAAAACGUGCCCUAGUUUAUCUGAAUUUCUUUAAACCAUUCACAAUUGUUAUGGUUGGCGCUAAGCUCCGCACGGAGCCACUGCAAUAUAGCCUCGGGAAAGAAUUGGUUUUGGUGAAAUGAGUACAUUAAAAAGUUGUUUUAGUCACGUAAGAGAAAACUCAGAUUGCAUAGAUAAUCUAGCUAGCUGUCUCAAUUUACCAUGCAGAGAU